GCGCCCGGGGCGAGGUUCUGUCCUACACUCCGGCUGUAGCUACAGACAGUCAGUGCAUCACAGAACUUGGUCCCGGGAGC
rnacentral:pre_miRNA from 1 species